rnacentral:ncRNA from 2 species
GGGAAUCGCGCGUGAUUACCGCCUCGCGCCACUGUGAGUGGGGAGCGCCGUCCCGUACCGCGAAUCGCGGCGCCACUGUCCACCGACGCGCACGGCGUGUCGGAGAUGGGAAGGCGAGGACGGACGUGAUGAUCCACGAGUCAGGAGACC